rnacentral:rRNA from 1 species
GAGUGAUGAAGGUUUUCGGAUCGUAAAACUCUGUUAUNAGGGAAGAACAAAUGUGUAAGUAACUGUGCACAUCUUGACGGUACCUAAUCAGAAAGCCACGGCUAACUACGUGCCAGCAGCCGCGGUAAUACGUAGGUGGCAAGCGUUAUCCGGAAUUAUUGGGCGUAAAGCGCGCGUAGGCGGUUUCUUAAGUCUGAUGUGAAAGCCCACGGCUCAACCGUGGAGGGUCAUUGGAAACUGGGAAACUUGAGUACAGAAGAGGAAAGUGGAAUUCCAUGUGUAGCGGUGAAAUGCGCAGAGAUAUGGAGGAACACCAGUGGCGAAGGCGACUUUCUGGUCUGUAACUGACGCUGAUGUGCGAAAGCGUGGGGAUCAAACAGGAUUAGAUACCCUGGUAGUCCACGCCGUAAACGAUGAGUGCUAAGUGUUAGGGGGUUUCCGCCCCUUAGUGCUGCAGCUAACGCAUUAAGCACUCCGCCUGGGGAGUACGACCGCAAGGNUGAAACUCAAAGGAAUUGACGGGGACCCGCACAAGCGGUGGAGCAUGUGGUUNAAUUCGAAGCAACGCGAAGAACCUUACCAAAUCUUGACAUCCUUUGAAAACUCUAGAGAUAGAGCCUUCCCCUUCGGGGGACAAAGUGACAGGUGGUGCAUGGUUGUCGNCAGCUCGUGUCGUGAGAUGUUGGNUUAAGUCCCGCAACGAGCGCAACCCUUAAACUUA